GUAGUCUCGCACAGAUGCAUAUCAAUAAGCGGAGGAAAAGAAACUAACAAGGAUUCCCCUAGUAACGGCGAGUGAAGCGGGAAGAGCUCAAAUUUGAAAUCUUAAAGGGUUUCCCUUUAUGAAUUGUAGUUUAAAGAAGUGUUUUCUGUUGAGGUUUUGGUAAAAGUUCUUUGGAAUAGGACAUCAUAGAGGGUGAGAAUCCCGUAUUUGACCUUUACUUUCAACUUUGUGAUACACUUUCAAAGAGUCGGAUUGUUUGGGAAUGCAGUCCAAAAUGGGUGGUAAAUUUCAUCUAAAGCUAAAUAUUGGCGAGAGACCGAUAGCGAACAAGUACCGUGAGGGAAAGAUGAAAAGAACUUUGAAAAGAGAGUUAAACAGUACGUGAAAUUGUCAAAAGGGAAGCGUUUGACACCAGUGUUGUUUUUCUGAAAAUCAAUUAAAGAACUGUUUAUGCUAAGCUGUUUAGACUUUAUCAGCUAUCUGUUUAGUUUUGAGCUUUUCUUUAAUGCACUUUUCAGUUAACAAGUCAACAUCAAUUUCUUUUGCUGUAAAAAAGCUUGAGGAAGGUGGCUUGAGAUUCGUCUUAAGUGUUUAUAGCCUCUUGCCUAUGCAGUCGGAGAGAUUGAGGUCUGCAGCGUAGAUCCUUCGGGGCUAAAUGCAUUUGUGCUAAGUUAUAGCAUUUUAUAGACAACUUGUUGACUAUGAUUUGUCUUGUAGCUUACUCGCUUAUGUUAUUUUACCUACGCUUAGGAUGUUGAACUACUGAGACAUAGA
rnacentral:rRNA from 1 species